UACGUAGGGUGCAAGCGUUGUCCGGAAUUAUUGGGCGUAAAGAGCGUGUAGGCGGCCAGAUAAGUCCGCUGUGAAACUCGAGGCUCAACUUCGAGCUGUCGGCGGAAACCAUCUGGCUAGAGUCCGGAAGAGGAGAGUGGAAUUCCUGGUGUAGCGGUGAAAUGCGCAGAUAUCAGGAAGAACACCCGUGGCGAAGGCGGCUCUCUGGGACGGUACUGACGCUGAGACGCGAAAGCGUGGGGAGCGAACAGG
rnacentral:rRNA from 1 species